CACCGCGGUUAUACGAGAGACCCAAGUUGAUUGCCACCGGCGUAAAGAGUGGUUAAGAUAAAAUGAAACUAAAGCCGAACGCCCCCAAAGCUGUUAUACGCAUACGGGUGCAAGAAGAUCAACCACGAAGGUGGCUUUACUAACCUGAACCCACGAAAGCUAAGAAA
rnacentral:rRNA from 1 species